rnacentral:lncRNA from 1 species
AUAAAAUGGUGAUUCUUUGUUAACAAUAGUCUCAUUUUAGAACUAUGGUGAAGGAAGAUCAUUUAUAUAUACUUUUUUCACAAAUGAUGUUAUUGUAAUUCUGAAUAUCUGCUCUUUCUAGGGAGGUAUAACAUUUUAGGAGAUCAGUACACUAAAAUUAAUUAAUUUUCUAUUUUUAAAGAAAAUUAGACAAUUUGUAGUUUCUUGGUAUGAAAUUUUAAAAAUCAUCUUUUUUUAUCAUAGUAAUAUGAUUUUUUGGAGACAAUGUCUUACUCUAUUGCCUCAGCUGAUCUGGAUUGGCAUCAAAUUUACAAUAAUCUUUCUGACUAAGCCCUCUGAGUGCUGGAUUAUGUGUAGGACAUCAUGCCCAGUAGUUCAUUUUUUUUCUUGUAUCUUUACUGAUAAAACCUAUUUACAAAAUGUCACUAAAUUAAACUAUUUACUAUAUAAGGUUUCUAUUCAAUGUAUGCAAUUAUUUAUUACAAUAAACAAAACAUUUUCCUUAAUGUCUCUGGCCAAUUCAUAGUCAAUGCCUUUCCCCUAGACAUAGGUAAUCACUGAUUUUCUUUCUUUCAGAAGACAGUGUUCAUUUUUAGAUUGUAUGCUUAUAAUUAUGCUAUAUGUGGCUUUUGUCUAUGAGAAUAAAUAACCAUAGAUAUUUAGAAGAGAGUCAUGCUAUGUCAAUUUACUUAAAACAUCAGCAAUAAGUUUCCCACUUGGUCUUGUGACCUCUCCAGACCAUGAUUGUUAGCUGGACAUACUAUAUCAGGCCUAGGUAUUUGACUCUACCCCUCCAUGGAGGCAGCCUCAAAUCCAACUAUAGGACAGUUGGUUAUCCCCAUAACAGCCAUGCCAUUAUUGCACAGGUUGGCAUAUUUUCCCAUUCACAGCUAGCUAGGAUAAACAAUGAUUCCUUUCUCCCUCAGCAUCCUUUGAUGGUUCAGAUGGUAGUCAACAUGAAGGAAGUUUCCAGCUCAGUGCCAGCCUGCUUUCUUACAGCCAAGGUGUGUAGUAUAUUUUGUAAUAUGAUCUUAGUUCUGCUAAGCAGCCAACAGUAUCGAUAAGAGCUCAUAUUACUGGAGGCCUCUGGACCCUUCAUGAGCCACUCCUGUGGGGUAUCUCAUACUUGGGACUGUUAAUCCUUCCCCAAUCCAGAACACAUGUCCUCCCUACCUAAACCUUUCCACCUACAGUAUCCUAUCUUUUUUAUUUUUCUUUUUAUCAUUGCUCUACUAUCUUCUCUCAUGCAAGGUACUCUCCUCAAUCUUCUGUAAUUUUUAUCCUGCCUUCCAUCAUGUUCUCAGUGUUCAACAUGAACAAGCAUUCCAUUUUCAACAACAAGAACUUAGAGCAGAAGCCAAUAUCCACAC